UGGGGAAUAUUGGACAAUGGGCGAAAGCCUGAUCCAGCAACGCCGCGUGAGGGAUGACGGCCUUCGGGUUGUAAAGCCCUUUCGACGGGGACGAUGAUGACGGUACCCGGCGAAGAAGCACCGGCUAACUCCGUGCCAGCAGCCGCGGUAAGACGGAGGGUGCUAGCGUUGUUCGGAAUCACUGGGCGUAAAGGGCGCGUAGGCGGCCUUUGGUGUCGGAUGUGAAAGCCCGGGGCUCAACUCCGGAGGUGCAUCCGAAACUCGAAGGCUGGAGGCCGGAAGAGGAGGGUGGAAUACCCAGUGUAGAGGUGAAAUUCGUAGAUAUUGGGUGGAACACCGGUGGCGAAAGCGGCUCUCUGGUCCGGUCCUGACGCUGAGGCGCGAAAGCGUGGGGAGCAA
rnacentral:rRNA from 1 species